rnacentral:rRNA from 1 species
AUUGAACGCUGGCGGCAGGACUAACACAUGCAAGUCGAGCGGAUGAAGGGAGCUUGCUCCUGGAUUCAGCGGCGGACGGGUGAGUAAUGCCUAGGAAUCUGCCUGGUAGUGGGGGAUAACGUCCGGAAACGGGCGCUAAUACCGCAUACGUCCUGAGGGAGAAAGUGGGGGAUCUUCGGACCUCACGCUAUCAGAUGAGCCUAGGUCGGAUUAGCUAGUUGGUGGGGUAAAGGCCUACCAAGGCGACGAUCCGUAACUGGUCUGAGAGGAUGAUCAGUCACACUGGAACUGAGACACGGUCCAGACUCCUACGGGAGGCAGCAGUGGGGAAUAUUGGACAAAGGGCGAAAGCCUGAUCCAGCCAUGCCGCGUGUGUGAAGAAGGUCUUCGGAUUGUAAAGCACUUUAAGUUGGGAGGAAGGGCAGUAAGUUAAUACCUUGCUGUUUUGACGUUACCAACAGAAUAAGCACCGGCUAACUUCGUG